rnacentral:rRNA from 1 species
UACGGCCGUACCAUGCUGAAUAAUAUACCGGUUCUCGUUAGAUCACCGAAGUUAAGCAUCAUUGGGCGCGGUCAGUACUUGGGUGGGUGACCACCUGGGAACACUGCGUGCCGUU